rnacentral:rRNA from 1 species
GACGAACCGUGCGAACGUUGUUCGGAAUCACUGGGCUUAAAGGGCGCGUAGGCGGGCGGCCAAGUCGGUGGUGAAAUCCCCCAGCUCAACUGGGGAACUGCCUUCGAUACUGGCGGCCUGGAGGGGGGUAGGGGCAGACGGAACUUCCGGUGGAGCGGUGAAAUGCGUAGAUAUCGGGAGGAACACCUGUGGCGAAAGCGGCUCACUGGACCACAACUGACGCUGAGGCGCGAAAGCUAGGGGAGCAAACAGG